UACGAAGGGUGCGAGCGUUGUCCGGAAUUAUUGGGCGUAAAGAGCUCGUAGGCGGUCUGUCGCGUCGGUCGUGAAAACUUGGGGCUUAACCCUGAGCUUGCGGUCGAUACGGGCAUGACUGGAGUUCGGUAGGGGAGACUGGAAUUCCUGGUGUAGCGGUGAAAUGCGCAGAUAUCAGGAGGAACACCGGUGGCGAAGGCGGGUCUCUGGGCCGAUACUGACGCUGAGGAGCGAAAGCGUGGGGAGCGAACAGG
rnacentral:rRNA from 1 species